UACGAAGGGUGCAAACGUUGCUCGGAAUUAUUGGGCGUAAAGCGCACGUAGGCGGCUUAGCAAGUCCCAUGUGAAAGCCCACGGCUUAACCGUGGAAGUGCAUGGGAAACUGCUGAGCUUGAGUACUUAAGAGGAUCGCGGAAUUCCCGGUGUAGAGGUGAAAUUCGUAGAUAUCGGGAGGAACACCAGUGGCGAAGGCGGCGUCCUGGCUCACAACUGACGCUCAUACACGACAGCAUGGGGAGCGAACGGG
rnacentral:rRNA from 1 species